CUCAAUGAAAAUUUAAUAGCCGCAACACUUUGCGCUAAGGUAGCAUAAUCAUUUGUCUUUUAAUUAAAGACUAGAACGAAAGAUUCAAUAUUUUAAUUCCUAUAAAAAUAUACUCCUUUUAAUUUAUAUUAAAUAUUAAAAAAUAUUUAUAAAAUAAAAAGACGAUAAGACCCUAUUGAACUUAACUUUAGUUUAACUGGGGUAGUUAAUCAAAUAUAAUUUUAAUCUAAAUUUCAUAAACAAUCUAAUCAAAUUAAACUUCAAUCAAGUUACCAUAGGGAUAACAGCGCCAUAAUUUUUUAAAGCUCUUAUUAAAAAAAUUUCUUGCGACCUCGAUGUUGAAUUAAUAACCUAUUAUAUGCAAUAAUUUAAUAAGAAAGUCUGUUCGACUU
rnacentral:rRNA from 1 species